rnacentral:tRNA from 1 species
GGCUAGGUAGCUCAGUUGGUAGAGCAACGGACUGAAAAUCCGUGUGCCGGGGGUUCGAUUCCCUCCCUAGCCA